ACUGGCGCAGUAGGCGCGAGCCAUUGGAGGCAAGCCAAAGGAGGCGGAAAGCUUGCAGGAGAAGGCAGCGCCGCCGGCGCGUCGCGUCUCGGGAGGAGCCCUAGCCCGCGGCCAUGGAGCCGGGGGCGGUGGUGGUGGAGGAGGGGGAACAUCAGCUGCUGGAGGAGGCGCGGCCACGGUGGCCGCCGCUCGCCGUGGAGGCGUUCCGCGACAGGAUCGUCGAGAAGGUGAAGGAGAACCGCGUCACGCUGAUCGUGGGGGACACCGGAUGCGGAAAGAGUUCUCUAGUUCCUCAAUUCCUCUUAGAAGAAAAUAUGGAACCCAUCCUAUGCACACAACCUAGAAGGUUUGCAGUGGUAGCCAUCGCUCGAGCGAUAGCUGAAUCUCGCAAUUGGCAGCUAGGCGAGGAGAUUGGAUACCAUAUAGGCCACUCAAAUGUGUCGAAUCUCAACGAUAAAAGGUCAAAAAUUGUGUUCAAAACAGCUGGCGUAGUGUUGGAGCAAAUGUGUGAUAGGGGAAUUGCUGCAUUGAGGUAUAAGGUUAUUAUUCUUGAUGAAGUGCAUGAGAGAUCUGUGGAAUCUGAUCUUGUCCUUGCUAGUAUCAAGCAGUUUUUGAUGAAAAAGAAUGACUUAAGGUUGGUUUUGAUGUCUGCCACUGCUGACAUUACAAGAUAUAAGGAAUAUUUUAGAGAUAUAGGAAGGGGUGAAAGGGUUGAAGUGAUUGCCAUUCCGUGCAGUCCACGUACAAGCAUUUAUCAGAGGAAAGUCCUAUACCUGGAGCAGAUUGCUGAUAUUCUCAAGAUAAAUUCCCAAUCACUUUCAACAAAAUAUUGCUCUGGUCCGGAUGCUUCUGCUGAUGCUGAUCUUAACCAUGAUGUUUAUGAACUUAUCCACAAGUUAUUGUUGCACGUACAUCAAAGUGAACCAGACAUUAGCAAGAGUAUUUUGGUUUUUCUUCCUACAUACUAUGCAUUGGAGCAGCAAUGGAUCCGUCUGCUGCCUUUUAGUUCAACCUUUAAGGUACAUAUUCUUCAUCGGAGUAUUGACACUGAUGAAGCACUUCAAACUAUGAAGGUCUCAAAGUAUUGCCGAAAGGUGAUACUGGCGACAAACAUUGCUGAAUCAUCUGUUACUAUCCCAGGAGUUGCAUAUGUUAUCGAUUCUUGUAGAUCAUUGCAAGUAUACUGGGACCCAAUUAGGAAAACAGACUCAGCUGGGCUUGUAUGGAUUUCCAAGUCUCAGGCUGAGCAGCGGAAAGGCAGGACAGGCCGAACCUGUGAUGGUCAAAUUUAUCGUUUGGUAACUGGGACAUUUUAUAGCAGUUUAAAUGAUCAUGAAUAUCCUGCCAUUUUAAGAUUAUCCUUAAGAGAGCAAGUGCUCAUGGUUUGUUGUGCAGAGUCCAGAUCUAUGAAUGAUCCUAACGUACUGCUGCAAAAAGUUCUUAACCCACCAGAUUCAGAUGCUAUUGAAGAUGCGCUAGAUUCACUUGUUCAAAUUCGCGCAUUGGAUAAGACAAGUUCUGGACGCUAUGAGCCCACUUUUUAUGGCUGUUUGCUCAAUAGUUUGCCGUUGUCAUUUGAUUCUUCUGUUCUUACCCUGAAAUUUGGUGAACUUGGAGCUCUCCAUGAAGGAAUCCUGAUAAGCAUUAUGUUGGACAUCCAGCCACUUCCUAUCCUUCAACCUUUUGGCUAUCAAGCACUGUGCCGGAAGUAUAGAGACAGUUACUUCAAAGUAAGUGGCAGUGUACAAAUUGGCAAAAAGGAAGGGACAACCAUUGGAAAUCUUUGUGCAUUUCAAUUUUGGGAACGCGUGUUUAAGAACAAGCAUCGUCUGGAAUAUCUAAAAGAUGUGGCGAACACUCAAGAACCAAAAGAAUCCCAUACCUUCCUUGCUAAACCUGAAGAGGAGUGGUGUGCAAUUCAUAAUCUCGUCCCUGCAGCAUUUAAGAACAUCUCCGAAAUUUAUGAUGAUGUUAUGAAGCAACUGCACCGUUUUAGGCCUAGCUUUCUUGUCAAAAUCAAUCCUCCGAUGUACCUUCAGCCUUCUGAAUUCAACCACACUUGCCUUUGUUGUGAAAUACCGGAGCUAGAGGAGGAUAUGGAUUCUCUCUCGUUAGAGGCUGAGAAUUCUCACAGCGAUUCACAGAAGCAGUGCGCUAAAACUCCAUAUGUUUUGCCAGCUGAUUUUGGGACUACUACCAUUGUUGAAAUGCUGAAGACAUUUGUCAAGGAGAUGAAGAUACAUCAUGUCGAGGAAAAGACCAUAUCUUACAGGGGAUGGCAUCAUGCUUUUGUCCAGCCAACCUUGGAAACUGAGGGGUGUGUGUUCUUUUCUAAUGGCCUAUGCAAUCAAGGGGCCACAUGCCGUUUUUCUCAUUCUUCUUUUGCACCUAAACCAGUAUGCAAGUUCUUCCUCACAUUACAGGGUUGUCGAAAUGGUAACUCUUGUCCGUAUUCGCAUGAUCGUGGCUCCUUGAUCUCUUCACCUAUCACAUAUGGAAUAUGCUCUCAAGAAGGCAAAGCCACUUCACUAUGUUGUACAAAGCUGCUUCCUGCUGAUGGAGAUGGGCAUAUUCUUGUCAUGAAUGAUAAAAACCUACUGUUCUCUAGUAAACUUUGUCAGUAUUAUGAUGCCAGUAAGAUUGUUGCUUGUACACCUAGUCUGCAGUCCGUUGAGUCUAAUUCAGUUACAAACGGCCUCAAGAUACUCCAAAAUUUGGCUGAUCCCUCUCAUCUAAUCAUUGGGCGUGAACAUAAACUACCAGUUCCUUGGACAAAGCUACAGCGAGUUUUUUGGUUUGCUGAUUUUGAUAAUGAUGAGUUAAACAGUGAGCAGGUUCUGCUGCAAAAAUUCUUUGAGCGUAUUGCCAUCAAAAUCUUGUCAGAAAGGCUGUCUGAUCUGCAGGUCAUCUUGAUCAUGAAAAACACCAAAUACAUUCAGUUACAGGUCGAAAGAUUGGCAAGAGAAUGCUUCUUUUUUCUCAGUGAAUCAUUUAUGUUUGAUGAAGCAACUCUGGGAUGGUUUUCAGACAUCUCAAGGUAUCCAAGAGGGAUGCAAGUAUCAGCACCAGUCACUUACGUUUUCAACAUGCAUCCUCCCACUGUUACCCAGUUCGGCGAUUAUCCAGCGGAACUUCGCGAGGCCUUACGCAGAGAUUAAUUACCAGGUUCUCUUGCGAGCUGUAAUUUUUGGGUCUAUUCAGCUUUUGCAGAAGUGUAAUGUUCACUGCUAAUGCCACCAGAAUUCCUUACACGGAAGUGCCUUCAUCAGGUUAUAACAAAGGCAGCCCGCUGAAGAAUGAAGGAGCAGAGACCAAAACACUCGAAGCACGCAAGUGACUGACGCGACCCACACGCUGCGUCCACGUUGGCAAGCGAACCGGACCGUAGCUGCACCUCUCGUUGGCGGCCGACCUCGUCC